AUUAAAUCAGUUAGAGUUUAUUUGAUGGUACCUUACUACUCGGAUAACCGUAGUAAAGCUACAGCUAAUACGUGCGCAAAUCCCGACUCACGAAGGGGCGUAUUUAUUAGAUUCAAGACCGACCGUGCUUGCACGCUCUUGGUGAAUCAUGGUAACUUCACGAAUCGCACGGCCUCGCGCCGGCGAUGUUUCAUUCAACUUUCUGCCCUAUCAACUUUCGACGGUAGUAUAGAGGACUACCGUGGUAGUAACGGGUGACGGAGAAUUAGGGUUCGAUUCCGGAGAGGGAGCCUGAGAAACGGCUACCACAUCCAAGGAAGGCAGCAGGCGCGCAAAUUACCCAAUCCUGACACAGGGAGGUAGUGACAAAAAAUAUCAAUACUGGGCCUCUUGGUCCGGUAAUUGGAAUGAGUACAAUCUAAACACGUUAACGAGGAUCCGUUGGAGGGCAAGUCUGGUGCCAGCAGCCGCGGUAAUUCCAGCUCCAAUAGCGUAUAUUUAAGUUGUUGCAGUUAAAAAGCUCGUAGUUGGAUUUCGGGUUGGCUGCGGCGGUCUCCGAACGGUAGUACUGCCGACGCCCGCCUUGCUGCCGGGGACGCGCUCCUUGCUUCAUUGUCGGGGACGCGGAAUCGGUGACGUUACUUUGAGUAAAUUGGAGUGUUCAAAGCAAGCCCACGCUCUGAACAUAAUAGCAUGGGAUAACACGACAGGACUCUGGCCUAUCGUGUUGGUCUGUAGGACCAGAGUAAUGAUUAAGAGGGACAGUCGGGGGCAUUCGUAUUCCGUUGUCAGAGGUGAAAUUCUUGGAUUUACGGAAGACGAACAUCUGCGAAAGCAUUUGCCAAGGAUGUUUUCAUUGAUCAAGAACGAAAGUUGGGGGCUCGAAGACGAUUAGAUACCGUCGUAGUCUCAACCAUAAACGAUGCCGACUAGGGAUUGGAGGAAGUUUUUUUGAUGACUCCUCCAGCACCACAUGAGAAAUCAAAGUUUUUGGGUUCCGGGGGGAGUAUGGUCGCAAGGCUGAAACUUAAAGGAAUUGACGGAAGGGCACCACCAGGCGUGGAUUUUGCGGCUUAAUUUGACUCAGCACGGGAAAACUUACCAGGUCCAGACAAGAGAAGGAUUGACAGAUUGAAAGCUCUUUCUUGAUUUCUUGGGUGGUGGUGCAUGGCCGAUCUUAGUUGGUGGGUUGCCUUGUCAGGUUGAUUCCGGUAACGAACGAGACCUCAACCUGCUAAAUAGGCGGGCCUGCUCCGGCAGUCGCCGUCUUCUUAGAGGGACCGUUGGCGUCUAGCCAAUGGAAGUAUGAGGCAAUAUCAGGUCUGUUUGCCCUUAGAUGUUCUGGGCCGCACGCGCAAUACACUGAUACGUUCAACAAGUCACCUGGUCCGAAAGGGCUGGGCAAUCUUUGAAACCGUAUCGUGAUGGGGAUAGAACAUUGCAAUUAUUGUUCUUCAACGAGGAAUGCCUAGUAAGCGCGAGUCAUCAUCUCGCGUUGAUUACGUCCCUGCCCUUUGU
rnacentral:rRNA from 1 species